AACGAACGCUAGCGGCGUGCCUAACACAUGCAAGUCGAGCGAGAAACGGACUUCGGUCCCGAGUAAAGCGGCGCACGGGUGAGUAACACGUGGGUAACGUACCCUUGGGUGGGGAAUAACAGGCCGAAAGGCCUGCUAAUACCGCACAAGACCACAGUCCCUGCGGGGACAGGGGUCAAAGGGGGCUGUCGCAAGGCAGCUCUCGCCUGAGGAUCGGCUCGCGGACCAUUAGCUAGUUGGUGGGGUAACGGCCUACCAAGGCUCCGAUGGUUAGCUGGUCUGAGAGGACGAUCAGCCACACUGGGACUGGAACACGGCCCAGACUCCUACGGGAGGCAGCAGUGGGAAUUUUCCGCAAUGGGCGAAAGCCUGACGGAGCAAUACCGCGUGAGGGAGGAAGGUCUUUGGAUUGUAAACCUCUUUUAUUAGGGAAGAAGAAAGUGACGGUACCUAAUGAAUAAGCAUCGGCUAACUCCGUGCCAGCAGCCGCGGUAAUACGGAGGAUGCGAGCGUUAUCCGGAAUUAUUGGGCGUAAAGAGUCCGUAGGUGGUUUAGCAAGUCUGCUGUCAAAGAAUGGAGCUCAACUCCAUGGAGGCGGUGGAAACUGUUCAACUAGAGUACAGUAGGGGUAGCAGGAAUUCCCAGUGUAGCGGUGAAAUGCGUAGAUAUUGGGAAGAACAUCGGUGGCGAAAGCGUGCUACUGGGCUGAAACUGACACUGAGGGACGAAAGCUAGGGUAGCGAAAGGGAUUAGAUACCCCUGUAGUCCUAGCCGUAAACGAUGGAUACUAGGCGAGGCUUGUAUCGACCCGAGCCGUGCCGAAGCUAACGCGUUAAGUAUCCCGCCUGGGGAGUACGCACGCAAGUGUG
rnacentral:rRNA from 1 species